CAGUGCAAAUCCCUUCAGAGGCCAGCGCCGUGGCAGUAAAAAAUAAUGGUUCAUUUGCUGCAGUUCUACUUUUUCCAGGAAUGCAUCAGGACGAGCCCGAAAGCAAUUUUCUCAACGAUGAGGUCGUGGGAAUUGAAAUGGGAACAGAAAUAUCCGGACUCUCUAAUACCAUUGACAUUCAAUACAGUGGUGUGGACAAGAAUGGAAGAAUUGCUUCUUGCAGGUCGUGGAAUGGAAAAGG